rnacentral:rRNA from 1 species
CAGUCGCCACGGUAAUACGUAGGGUGCAAGCGUUAUCCGGAAUUAUUGGGCGUAAAGAGCUCGUAGGCGGUUUGUCGCGUCUGCUGUGAAAACUGGGGGCUCAACCCCCAGCCUGCAGUGGGUACGGGCAGACUAGAGUGCGGUAGGGGAGAUUGGAAUUCCUGGUGUAGCGGUGGAAUGCGCAGAUAUCAGGAGGAACACCGAUGGCGAAGGCAGAUCUCUGGGCCGUAACUGACGCUGAGGAGCGAAAGCAUGGGGAGCGAACAGGAUUAGAGACCCCCGUAGUCCCUGUCUCUUAUAA